rnacentral:rRNA from 1 species
UCCGUAGGCGGGUUUAUAAGUCAGUGGUGAAAGUUUGCGGCUCAACCGUAAAAUUGCCAUUGAUACUGUAGAUCUUGAAUUAGUGUGAAGUGGUUAGAAUAAGUAGUGUAGCGGUGAAAUGCAUAGAUAUUACUUAGAAUACCAAUUGCGAAGGCAGAUCACUAACACUAUAUUGACGCUGAGGGACGAAAGCGUGGGGAGCGAACAGGAUUAGAUACCCUGGUAGUCC